CCCAGAACAGAGCAACAAAAACAGAGUCCAAAGAGCUUCUGAGCAGCCAAGGCAAUGUUUGAGGUCUGCCCUUAAUCCCAUAGAACACUUCUUGCCCUAAGGUGGAGUUUAUAGAGAAAUACUGCUACUUCCAACUUAUAAACCUGAAGUUCCACGUUCCUGGAGGGAACUAUCCGGGAAUGAAGGGCCAUCAAUUACUGCCAUCUGGUUAGAUUGGAAACAGAAGACUGGGGAAGACGGUGGAAAGAGGAAAUAAAGACCAGCUGAGGUCUGAGAAGCUUCCAUGGAUGAGAAGUUGGAGCUACACAGUAAACAAGGAUGAAUUCACCAAGCUGACAUAAGGGAAAGAACAUUUCAAUACCAGUAGGUCCUCAGGUUAAGAAAGUGAGGACAUUAAACUGAGGUUGAACUGUAAACCUGACAUGGAGCCUGAAGGACAGAGAGGGAAAUAGCAGAGGAUAGGUAGGAAUGUCCGGGGAAGGGCCAGAUGGAAGGCAAUUCCAAACCACAAACGCUCAUGUUAAGAAGCUCUCUUGAGGGCAGUGGGGAUGACUGACAGCAUUAAUGAAAAAAAAAUUUACAUGUAAUCAGAUUUGUGCCUUUGCUCACUCAGACUCCAGUUGGGAUCAUACUGCUUGUUAUGGAUGAUCAAUUUGAUUGGAUUAAGACAUGCUUAAGGUUAAAGGCUUCUGGGUAUCUCAAUGAGGGAGAUUCUAGGAAUAAUUGGCAUGUGGGACAGCAAACUUUGGCAGACACCCACCCUAAGUGUAGGCAGCAGAGUCCAAUAGGUUGGAGGCUUGGAGAGAACAAAAUUUGGAAGAACAAGGAGGCAGCAGCAGAUGCAAGCUUGAUUCUUCUUGGAUGGGUUCUUGAUUGCUUCUGCGCUGGGCUGAGAACAUUGUACUCUUGCUCCUUCACUCUUCCAAAGCAGACUCUGCCCAGUGACUCUCCAGGGAGUUUUCAGGCCUUUGGUCCCAAACCAGAGCUACAAAUCAUUUAUCCCUCUUGUUCUGAUGUUAGAGUCUGUAAACAAGUCAAAAUAACACCUGGCAUUUUGCCAGGGGAAUGUUAGAGUUCGUAAACAAGUCUGGAUGGUGCCUGGCAAAAUGCCAGAGGGAGUGGUUUGAGAAGUAACAAAAGCAAGCCAUUAAGUGUGGAGAUUCCUUAUUGGUUGACUGAUGUAUCUAGUUUAUGCUAAUUAGAUAAGCUGUGUGUAAUGUAUAAAUACUGCUCCUGUCCUGCAAUAAAUGGCUCCCACUCCUGCUGUA